rnacentral:tRNA from 1 species
ACAAUGGUGUUUCAGUGGUAGAAUUCUCGCCUUCCACACAGGAGACCAGGGUUCGAUUCCCAGCCAAUGCA